CCUACGGGAGGCAGCAGUGAGGAAUAUUGGUCAAUGGGAGAGAUCCUGAACCAGCCAAGCCGCGUGAGGGAAGACGGCCCUAUGGGUUGUAAACCUCUUUUGUAAAGGAAGAACGGAUGGCAUAGGGAAUGAUGCCAUUGUGACGGUACUUUACGAGGAAGUCACGGCUAACUACGAGCCAGCAGCCGCGGUAAUACGUAGGUGGCGAGCGUUAUCCGGAAUUAUUGGGCGUAAAGGGUGCGCAGGCGGCAAGAAAAGCUUAAGGUGAAAGCGUGGGGCUCAACCCCAUAAAGCCUUAGGAACUAGCUGGCUAGAGUGCAGGAGAGGGCGAUGGAAUUCCAUGUGUAGCGGUAAAAUGCGUAGAUAUAUGGAGGAACACCAGUGGCGAAGGCGGUCGCCUGGCCUGUAACUGACGCUGAGGCACGAAAGCGUGGGGAGCAAAUAGGAUUAGAUACCCUAGUAGUC
rnacentral:rRNA from 1 species